UUCAUUCAGCUAGGCAAAAAGGCUUUGAGCAGCCCUACAAUCGCCUUCCUCUCAUUUAUUUGUGCUAGAAUUAAGGUUUAUUUGUUUUCUGUUUUCUUCGUCUUCAGAUUGUUUCUCUGUCUUCAUCCAUUUCGCAAACCCUUUCCUCUGUAUCUCAGAAGGAAGGACCUCCAGGGCCUACAUGUCUGCAGCCCGCACAGCCUCCUUUGAAUGCAUGUCUCUCCGUCUAACUGGAGCUUCUGAAUAUCUCUCAAGCCCCCUGUCGUUUCAGCACUCUGGAGGUGGAAGCAGAAGAGUCAGAAGUUCAAGGUUAUCUUCAGUUACACGAGGAGAUCAAGGCCAUCCUGAGCUACAGGGACACUUGUUAUCAGUUUUAAAUCGUAAAUAAGGAAGCAAAAGUGUAAACGGAGAGUGACCACAUAGAUAUUGUGACUUAAAGCCUGGUUUUAAGGAUGUGUCCCAAGUUCUCUAUCAAUCUGCUCUUUCAGACUUUUUACUUCAUGGUAUAUGAAAAGAUGAUUCAAGACUCAAGAGACUAUAGUCUUUUAUACUAAUCCUUAAAAGGACAAACAGUUCUACCAACUGCAACUUUCUCAUCUGUAACACAGACACGAGCUAAGUAAGAGGCUGACUGAAGUAGUCCUUGGGCGAGGCUUCCCUGGGCUCCGUCGUCACCAAGAGCUUUGGAUGCUUCUCCAGACAUCACAGAACCCAUCUUCUUCUGCUUCCAUUUGGCACUCGCAUGCCAACAUCCAGGACACUGCACUCUGCUCUUAAGAUAUCUCUCAGGAACUCAAAGAAUGAUGCUAACUCCCUGAGCUCCCAAGAGUGAUUAAAGUCCACUUUGAAGAUCCUGCAAGUCGUGCUACUUGAGAGAAGAACUCCCCACCUUGCACAGAAGUGGGGAGAACCUUACGGGUCAGUGCUCACAUAUGGAAUACAGUUAGAGGCCAGAAGAAGGAAAGGAGUCUGUGUCUCACCGUACUAGUCGGGUUGAGAUUCGGUUCUGGGCUGGAGAGAUGGCUCAACAGUUAAGAGAACUGGGUGUUCUUCCAAAGAUCCUGAGUUCAAUUCCCAGCAACCACAUGGAAUGAGUUGGACACGCAUCUGACUUUCUACCACAGGCCUUUCUGAAGCGAGAGGGCGCCAAUGAGUGCCGAAUGAAAGGGCGUGGUGCUCUUCAGGAAAGAAAGCUCAACCUUGACGCUCCACUGGCUUCGCCUUGGGAAACCUCUCCUUUGCUUCUCUCUCUGUGUGUUCCUGGAGACAUUUUCCCUGUUCCACCGCUGACUGAGUCUGGGAGAAGAGGAAGCCCUGAGUGUGUUGUUGGCAUAGGCACAACCAUGUCAAGGAACCCAGAGCCUUGGACCACAGUGGAAUGGAAAAUCUUCUCAUUGGGAGACUCGGAGGCAUGGCAAAGACGUUCCAUGCUCCAUCUGUGGGUGUCUACAACAGCUUUCUUCUCCCUGAUAUUUAUGGCCUGAAUACUGCUCUCCUACAGAGAAUUCGCCUACCAAGAUGAGCUAAACUGUUUUCUUGAUGCAGCUCUAUGCCAAAAACUCACCUCCUUGUUUAUCUGUAUGUAAUAACCCAGGCUGUAUGCAACCACCUCGCCUCUCUGUUCAACUCUAGUGUAUUCAUUUCAAGAGCUAAAGACAGCUUUCUCCUCCACACAGUCCAGCCUAGAACUGACUGAUUCAAAGCCUCAUGGAUAUGCAUUUUGGGAGCACUCCAAGCUUUCCCAGUGUGCCAAGCCAUAUAAAGAGCUGUACAGGUCAAGGGGAUAUGUGUCUUGGCCCUAAAGAACUUAAGCUUCUGUAUAAGGUGGCAUUUCCAAAGCAAUGCUUACUCCAUCCUGUAAGGAGCAUGGGAAUGCAGUCUUUGACCCACAGUGGCUUUUUUUUUCCUUCCUGUCAGUGUAAAAGCCAGCAGAGUACAAAAGACUACAUGUGCUUUAGCAUUGUUUUCUCAAUAAUGUUGACCAUGGUAAUCCCUUGAAAAUAUCUCAGUGACCCUCAGAAGUUCACAAAUUAUGCCUUAACAACAAGAGGACAUCUAAAAUGUGAUCCAAAGGCUGGGAAACAUCUCUGUGAUUAAACAGGUCACCCAAGUAAAGGGCGCUGUCCUUGGUGCUGUAUUUCUUUCCUCAGUCAACCACAACUAUCUGUGCUCAAACUAGAAGAUGCAUUCAGGAGAACACACUGCUUUUCCCUCUCAAAGAAAGAAUGACUUUGAGAGUUUUCUGUGGGGGGUUGAGGCUCCUCUCUAAGAAAAACAUGAUGUAUGGCAGUCUCAGAUAAACAAACAAACAAACAAACAAACAUGGAAUGCUGUAAUUUGUGCUAAUUUACCGGGCCCGUGAAAAUGUCUAAAAAACUAAAACAACAACAAAAUUUAAAGAAUUUAAACUCUAUAUAAUGAAUCUGGAGGUGGGUUAAAAAAAAAAAAAAAAGGAAAUGUUCUAUUUUGUUCUCUUUUACCCACCUUCAUUUUUAGAAAAAAAAAAAAAGAGGGGGGAUUAGGCCUUUCCUUUUUAAAGCUAACUGUGUAUUUGGGGGUCUAAGUUACUUCAGAAAACAAUCUCUAUUAAUAUGUAUGAAAAGAAAUUUAUAGCAGCUAUCAUGAAAUACAAAGCAACCAGGAAUAAAUUCAUUUAAUAAAAG
rnacentral:lncRNA from 1 species